UGUCUAGAGGCUGUGAACCUUGUCAGCUGCUGUGAUUCAUCGACCUCUGGCUGCGGAGCCUUCAGCGUGAAAAUUCAACGCCGGCAAAUCGCGCGGAGAUUGCCUACAAAGACGCAAUAAUCUUGCACAAUGGGGGCGUGUAGGCCGUUGAGUGAAAAUGCGCUGCUUUGCACCUGAACAUGGCCCUUUUCUUUUCCUCCAAGGAACUGCUCAUAUCAGUGUACGCUUGGAUACCUCACCACUCAGAACCUACCUCAAGUCAGCGGACAAUGUGUCAUCACUGAAAGCAAGCUCAUGAGCCAAAAUCCUCGCAAGAAAACUGGUCUAAACAGAGACAAUUGAUUUUCAAGCUACCCACAUCCAGUCGUAAGAAGCUCUACAGUUGCCAUACUGACAAUCUCAUGCACCAUCAAUAUGCCAGCCGGACAAAUGGAAGCCUUGUACUGAAAAACAG